UACGGGAGGCAGCAGGGGGAAUAUUGCACAAUGGGCGAAAGCCUGAUGCAGCUAUGCCGCGUGUAUGAAGAAGGCCUUAGGGUUGUAAAGUACUUUCAUCGGGGAGGAAAAAACAAAACUAAUAAUUUUAUUUCUUGACGUUACCCGAAAAAGAAGCACCGGCUAACUCCGUGCCAGCAGCCGCGGUAAUACGGAGGGUGCUAGCGUUAAUCAGAAUUACUGGGCGUAAAGAGCACGUAGGUGGUUUUUUUAAAGUUCAGAUGUGAAAUCCCUGGGCUUAACCUAGGAACUGCAUUUUGAAACUGAAAUACUAGAGUAUCGUAGAGGGAGGUAGAAUUCUAGGUGUAGCGGUGAAAUGCGUAGAUAUCUGGAGGAAUACCUGUGGCGAAAGCGGCCUCCUAAACGAAUACUGACACUGAGGGUGCGAAAGCGUGGGGAGCAAACAGGGAUUAGAUACC
rnacentral:rRNA from 1 species